GAGUGAGAGGGGAUGGGGAAGGAUGCGGCAAACAGGGAGCGAGUGAGGGAAUGAAAAGGGAAGGAGAGAAAGAUGUGAAAUGAGAAUCACAGGAGGAGAGAGCUGGAUAGGAAUACUGAGAGGAGGCGAGGUGAAGGGAUGGCUGGGAUUUCACACCCCGAAUUUUCAUCUGAGAUGUCUGUGGUGCUGCACUAAAGCGCAUCGGACGUGACUUCUCAUCAAGCUUUCUUCCUGCUGACUUUCUAUAAGUCACUCCAUCUGUUUCCAUGGAGAUGAUUGGCUGAGAGUGAUGGAAUUCCAACCAAAAGCAGAUGAUUCAGACAGUAAAUCUGUCUUCCCAUUUUGAGGAUGUUUUUCUUAUCUAAAUCUACUAAUCACGGUAACAGAAACCACAAAUCUGUUCUAAGGCUUAUACUGGGCACGUACUAUUGAGUCUUGUCACCAGGCCUGGAAAUUCGGCUAGCCCAGCAUGCCCAUGGAACGCAUUCAGGAUUUUAAAGCAUGGCAUUGAGGGUGCAGAUCCCUCUCAGCAGAUACUUCUAAAUAUAAACAACAUUGACAAUAACAAACAUUGGGGUUAGUGCCGAGCUGUGUCUGCCAACUAUGAGCUAAUUGUGUUGAAUGCAAUGCACCUAUUACCUCAGUAUAACUUUAGGAAUUCAAGAGCAUUGACGACUGAUAGCUCAGGGGGAUUUACAGGGCCAAACCAUCCUUGGUUAUCACAACAACCUAAAUAGACAUUUAAACUGUUGAAAACCUUGGUAUUCUCUGUAAGAUGCCUUCAAAGCUUUGGCACAAAUAUCAUAACUCAAAAAGGUAAUGAAAUGGUUUUAGACAACACAGCCUACUUUAAAUAAAAUAAACAAAACUCAGAUCAGGCACAUUUUACUUUCUUUCAGGUUAAUUUGUCUGAUUUGGG